rnacentral:rRNA from 1 species
GCCAAUGACCAAGUCACCCGGGAAUGCGCCCAAUCUCGUCAGAUAUCAGAAGCUGAGCAGGGUUGAGCCUGGAUAGCGCUUGCAUGGGUGACCUCCAUGCAUAAGACAGGUCCUAUGGGCU